CCCUCAUUGCUUCCCUUGGCUAGGGGAGGGAGUUUCCUGACAUCUUGUGCUCCGAGGUAUUCAGUGACAUUUUUCUAAAUUGUUUAAAAUGAGAAGCAUUGCACACUGUGAGUCAAGAUCCAAGUGUCUUUGACUGAGCCAUCUCAGCUCUGCUAUUAUGGUGUGAUCCCAGACUGUCUAGAAAAGGACACCAACAAUCACCCAUGAGGACUGCCCUUCAGCCUGUGGGAGGAAGUGAUCGAAAUGGAAGCUAGGGACGAUUGUUGUUGGAAUCUCAGGUGAGGCAUUU
rnacentral:lncRNA from 1 species